rnacentral:rRNA from 1 species
UUUCUUAAGAUAUAAUUUAAGAUAAAACCUGCUCCAUGUUAUUAAUUUAUACGUAUAAAUAGCCGCAGACAUCUGUGCUAAGGUAGCAUAAUCAUUAGCUUUCUAAUUAAAAGAUAGAAUGAACGGUUAAACGAAAUUUAAGCUAUUUCUUCAAUCUAUUAAACAAAUUAACAAAGUAGUUAAAAUCCUACUAACAUUAAGAAAGACGAUAAGACCCUAUAAACUUAAUUAUUUAGCUGGGGCGGCAAUAUAAAAACACCUUAAUUACAUUAAUUACACAAAGCAAAUAAAAUUAAACAAGAAAAAGUUACUAUAGGGAUAACAGCGCUACUUUUUUUCAAAGUUCAUAUAGAAAAAAUUUCUACGACCUCGAUGUUGAAUUAUUUUCCCAUAAUCAAAGCAAAAAUUUUAUUGGGUAGUCUGUUCGACUAUUAAACACUU